rnacentral:rRNA from 1 species
AGGACGAACGCUGGCGGCGUGCUUAACACAUGCAAGUCGAGCGGAAAGGCCCUUCGGGGUACUCGAGCGGCGAACGGGUGAGUAACACGUGAGCAACCUGCCCCUGGCUCUGGGAUAGCCUCCGGAAACGGGGAUUAAUACCGGAUAUUCACUGUCUCCUGCAUGGGGGGUGGUGGAAAGUUUUUCGGCUAGGGUGGGGCUCGCGGCCUAUCAGCUUGUUGGGGGGGUGACGGCCCACCAAGGCGACGACGGGUAG